UGGUUUAUCUGAGGAAAGGGGCAGGCGGUCCAGGAGUUUGCAUCUCUGAGGCUGGAGAUGAAGAUGGUGGUAGUGGUGGGGGAGGGGGUGGGUAGAAAUAAUGAGGUCAGGGCCGGGCGCAGUGGCUCAUGCCUGUAAUCCCAGCACUUCGGAAGGCCGAGGCAGGUGGAUCACCUGAGGUCAGGAGUUUGAGACCAGCCUGACCAACAUGGUGAAACCCCAUCUGCAAUAAAAAUACAAAAAUUUUAGCCGGGCUUGGUGGCAGGCGCCUGUACUCCCAGCUACUUGAGAGGAGGCUGAGGCAGAAGAAUCACUUGAACCCCAGAGUCGGAAGUUGCAGUGAGCCAAGACUGCGCCACUGCAAUCCAGCCUGGGCAAAAGAGCGAGACUCCAUCUCAAAAAUAAUAACAAUAAUAAUAAUGAGGUCAAUUCCAGACGUGCUUUUGGGACGUCUGUGGGCAUAUAGUCUGGAGCUAAGAAGAGACAUCAAGGCCAGUUAGAGAAAUCGAGAACAAUUAAAGUACGGAGGGUAGUUGAAAGCAUG
rnacentral:lncRNA from 10 species